rnacentral:snRNA from 1 species
AGACUUACCUGGCAGGGGAGAUACCAUAAACAUCAGGGUAGUUUUCCCAACGCAAGUUUCAACCCUUGAACUCUGGAUGAUGACAGAUUAAUGGGUACAAUGCAUGUGAUUGGGGUGAUGGAUACUGUAGAAACACCGACUUCACCA